GUCCACGCCGUAAACGAUGGAUACUAGCUGUUGGGGGCAACUUCAGUGGCUAAGCGAAAGUGAUAAGUAUCCCACCUGGGGAGUACGAACGCAAGUUUGAAACUCAAAGGAAUUGACGGGGCCCGCACAAGCGGUGGAGCAUGUGGUUUAAUUCGAUGAUACGCGAGGAACCUUACCAAGGCUUAAAUGCAGACUGACCGAUUUGGAAACAGAUCUUCGCAAGACAGUUUACAAGGUGCUGCAUGGUUGUCGU
rnacentral:rRNA from 1 species